rnacentral:lncRNA from 1 species
AUGUGGCACAUGAUAAGACCCUCGGGGUCUGUGCCCAAGUGUGUGGAAGGAGUGACUCAUGCUGUCGGAGCUCAGGGGAGAGGCUGGCAGAGGCAGUACCUGCCACAUCAGUCCACAUUCCAGGGCACAUGUACAGGAUGUGCAGGUUUGUUACACAGCUCUCUUCUAGGAUCUUCCUUUUGAAUGCAAAGGAACACUGGGAACUCUCCGCAGAGUAAAAUAUGGGUCUCCAUCUCAAUGCCCAGAGACAAAGGCCAAAAAAUGUGAAGAAUUUCCAAAGAGCCUCCUUCAAACGGCAUCUCCCCCCACCUCUGGCUGUGCUCCACAGGCGCUGUGGAUGGGAAUGGUGACUUUCUCCUCCGGGCCUGGCUUGGCCUGUUGCCCACUCACUAAAAGCCCGUAUCUGAAGAGAAAUGAAAUUAGGUAUGUCCCGGCUCCGCCCAUGCACUUGUCCUCACGUAAGAAGAUAGUUCUGUGAUCCGGCCGACCGAUGGGCCUUGUGCGUGGUUCUGCCAGUACAUGGCUGGGACGUUUGCAGCAGGCAGUGCACACUCUUGCACUCCUGUCCCCCGUGGGAGCAGCCCCUGGGAGGGCGAGUCAGGCACCUCACCUACGCCGGGGCAGUGGAAACUUGUUCACUUUCUGAGGACCCUUUAAGAGGAGCACUCACUUGGCUCAGGGCUCUUUUGUUCUCCUUUGGAGGCUGAACAAAAAAGAAUAAGCGGCUGUUCUGUCAUAAGGAUUGAAAAAGAGACGGGGAAAGAGCCCGAGUAUUCUCUCUGUAAGACAUCUUGAAGUGACAGAGUGACGCUUGAUGUGCCAGGGGUCUUUGGCCAUCUGGGUAAAUGUCUGCCGGCCCUCACUCUGCCAGCUUAUUUAACCCUGACCUCUUCUCCCUUCUCUGCACGUCACUAGGAUCCCUCAGAUGGUGAGAAAAAGCACCAAAGAUAACCACUCAUAGAUAAUCUUUGGGGAGAGGUUGGGAGUGAUAAGAACUGGAUCACACAGCCCAUCCAGGGCUGUUCUAGUUAUCACGUGACAAUAUGACGGAAAUCCGGUACAGUGGCUCAUGCUGAUAAUCCCAGCACUUUGGGAGGUGGAGAUGGGUGGAUAACCUGAGGUCAGGAGUUUAAGACCAGCUUGGCCAAUGUAGUGAAACCUCAUCUGUACUAAAAUACAAAAAUUAGCCGGGCAUGAUGGUGGGUGCCUGUAAUC